AUGCUUCCCGGCUCUGACCUAUAUUGGAAGUCCCUCAGCCCCUCCUUUAUGGGCGCAUCUUUUGAGAUUCUCAUUGCAGCUCUCUCCUGCAGAAGCCAAAAGCCAGAAUGAGAAGCACAAACAGAUGGAAUUUGAGGGAAUCCCUUUUGAGAAUUCAGCUACUACAUCAAGGACACUGAUACAACAUCCAGUGGAGUCCUGCAUUUGCUGAAGCCAGCUAUGUCGAGACUAAGCACCAGCAGGUUUCCAAAAGCAAAAACAACUCCCCUGACACCAUCAGCUGAUGUUUCAGCACUUUUUAAAUUGUUCCAUCAUCACAUCAUCCAUUCUGGACCCAUUACCAGCAUAUUUUUUGGAUGACAUUUUUAUUACAACCAGCACUGUUGCUUGCCAACUCUUCAGCCACAACAGUCAAUAGCCCCUGACUCAGUGAGAAGUUCUUCACCCAGAAGUGAAUCGUGGAAGCAAACCUAUGGACCCAUCGUCCUGAUAUUGGGAGGCAGAAGAACUGGUGACCUAGACAAGACUAUGCCAUCUGCUUCUGUCCAAAGUUAUUUAGAUUUCUUCCUUGGUUUCCAACAUUAGUAAAAAGAGAGGUGACCCGCUCAGUCCUGAGCACUAAGGACGAACUGAAGAGGCCCACAGCCAGGCAGACCCUCGAGAAGAUUUGAAGACAGAAAAUCCUUGUCUUUUGGGAUCCUAAGAAAGAGACCGAGAGGGAGAUACACUAUCAGUGAGUUCGUGUGCGUUGCAACUCUUAAAAGUCCCAGAAUUUCAAGCCUCUAAACCUGUCCUCAUCUCUUGGAACAAGAAACAGAGGUAUGGGACCUAGAAGCCCAGAAUACUGAGGAGAAAAGGAAUUGUCCAAGAACCUGUAAAGGGCUCAUACUUCACGACUAUUAUUCAGUUACUUCAUUAGAAAUGCUAACUGUAACAAUAAGACAAGAAAAAGAAAUUGGCAGAAUAAAACUAUUCAUUGAGGAAACAAAAUUUUCAUUCUUUGCUGAUUAAGCAAAGUUGCAAAAUGUAAAAUAAACCCACAAAAAUUUCUAUAUACUAUUAGCAAAACCCAGCAGGAAGAGAUAGAGAUAGAAAUUUUAUUUAAAAUAACUGCAGACAAUAUAAAGUACUUAAGUUUCUGUAGAGCAAGAUAAACCCUAGGGACUGAUGAAUACAGUUAUAAAAUGUUUUUUCACACAAAUAAAGACUGAUUUAAACAAUUGGGGAAAUAUUAGUUGUUCAAAAGUAAACCCACACCAAUUUAAUAAAAAUGACAAUUCUGCCUAAGUUAUUCAGUGCCAUAUC